rnacentral:rRNA from 1 species
UACGUAGGGUGCGAGCGUUGUCCGGAAUUAUUGGGCGUAAAAGAGCUUGUAGGCGGUCUGUCGCGUCUGCUGUGAAAAUCCGGGGCUCAACCCCGGACUUGCAGUGGGUACGGGCAGACUAGAGUGUGGUAGGGGAGACUGGAAUUCCUGGUGUAGCGGUGAAAUGCGCAGAUAUCAGGAGGAACACCGAUGGCGAAGGCGGGUCUCUGGGCCGAAAUUGACGCUGAGGAGCGAAAGCGUGGGGAGCGAACAGG